CAAUAGCGUAUAUUAAAGUUGUUGCAGUUAAAAGCUCGUAGUUGGAUUUCUGGCCGAGUGUCCCCAGGCCAGCAUGACGUUUGGUCCUGGGCGCUCUGCCAUCCUUCUGUCAACCUUCGCCUCGUUCAUUCGUGGCGCUGGGGCUCAGAUAUUUUACCUUGAGAAAAUUAGAGUGUUUCAGGCAGGCUUUCGCCGGAAUACAUUAGCAUGGAAUAAUGGAAAAGGACUUCAACCUCUUCUGUUGGUCUGAGAGGCUGUAGUAAUGAUUAAUAGGGAUAGUUGGGGGCGAUUAGUACUUAACUGUCAGAGGUGAAAGGUUACUCCCGAUUUGUUUAAAGUAACUAAACUUAAUGCGAAAGACAUUUGUCCAAGGAUGUUUUCUAUUGAUCAAGAACGAAAGUUAAGGGGAGUCGAAGACGAUCAGAUACC
rnacentral:rRNA from 1 species